UUACAUAUGAACAUUUUUCAUUCAAUUUUCAAUUUAGGCGACACAGAGAACAUGCUCCUGCGUACACACAUCAUCAACGUAAACAAACAUGGUGACGUAAUCCGCCAAGCGGUGCUAGUUGACCAGGUGUAUCUGUAUACUUAACGUACCUAUAUACAAAGUAAGGAUAUGAAGUGUAUUACGUCACGAAUAUCUACUACUAACAACAUGGCGCCUAUAAAAGUCGUCUGCUCACUUUGACAGAUACAAUUUUGAUUGAAAACUAGAAAUUACUGCACCCUCUUUGAACGGGAGAAAAAGAGCUUUCACGAUCACUUAAAUUAAGAAUCUCAAAAAUUAAAGAUCUUAUGAAAAAUGUUGUCACGUGCAAUGCGUAAUGCAAAACAGUUGUUGUCUGCUUGACCGAUAGCUGCGCAAGUUCAGAAAUCAGUUCCCAAAAGUGGUGAAAGAUGCGAUCCUUUGAUCCGUGACAGUCCAUGUAUAACAAGAAUAACUACUGCUAUGAUAAUAAACAUAAUGAAAGAUAUUAUUAGUUAUUAAAUAAUAUAAUACACGUAUUAUGUCGUUCAUCUUUCCAUAUACGUAAAAAUGGAAGCGGAAGUUAGAGUUCAUCGUUCGUCAAGUAUUUUCAAUCGCAAUGCAGUUUGUUAUGGAUUUUGGCGUGAAUGACGUGUCAAUACAUUGCCAAUGUGAGACUCAAAGUCAAAGUGAAUUUCGUAACAGCAUGACAGAAGUGUAUGUAAUUUAAACCAAAUUCAUCCACAAUAUUCAACUGACAAUGCUGUUUUAUAGCACAAUUAAUUUAUAGCAUAAUAUUAAAA